rnacentral:rRNA from 1 species
CCUUAGUACGAGAGGACCGGGAUGGACGUACCUCUGGUGUACCAGUUGUCCUGCCAAGGGCAUGGCUGGGUAGCUAUGUACGGAAUGGAUAAGCGCUGAAAGCAUCUAAGCGCGAAGCCAACUUCAAGAUAAGAUUUCCCACCGCAAGGGUAAGACUCCAGAAAGACUAUCUGGUUGAUAGGUCGAAGGUGUAAGUGCAGCAAUGUAUUUAGCUUAUCGAUACUAAUAGGUCGAGGACUUGACCAAU